AAAGGAUGUCAAAAUCUCUUGUGAGAAGAUUCUCUCAGCAUUAUUUUCUACUCUGAACACAGAGGGGUCCUCUUAAUUUGAUGAGCUUCUGUAAACUUCUUAAAGGCAUUGCAUGAGCAGUUAAGAAGGAAGAAUGGGGCAGAAGUUGGAGAAUCAAGCUUAAAGAUAUGAGAAUGCUUAC
rnacentral:lncRNA from 1 species